rnacentral:misc_RNA from 1 species
AACGCACGAGACCUGCGGACCUGCGGAAGGAUCAUUAUCGAGUUUUGACUGGGUUGUAGCUGGCCUUCCGAGGCAUGUGCACGCCCUGCUCAUCCACUCUACACCUGUGCACUUACUGUGGGUUUCAGACGGCGUAGCGAGCCUUUACGGGUUCGUUAAAGCGUCUGUGCCCGCGUUUAUUACAAACUCUUACAAGUAAAAGAAUGUGUAUUGCGAUAUAACGCAUCUAUAUACAACUUU